rnacentral:lncRNA from 1 species
AUGAUGGUGAACCUGAACAUUAUUCAGGCACUGAAAAUUGCACAUUUUCAUAGGAAGGAAUAUUUUUUAAUUAUGGUAAAAAAGAUGAAUAAAUCCUGGAAGACUUUUUUUUUUUUUUGUAGCUUGUUUGUUUUGUUUUGUACAUGUAAGGAAGAAAUUGCACAAGCCAAAAAUAGCAUGCUCCCAAGACAGCAUAUUUCAGAAGGUGUCACAGUUAAAUGGCACAGGACUGAUCGUGCCCUCAUUACCCAAACUGUUAUUUCUCCCUCUGGCCUCACAAACUGUAUUAAAUGAUGUUUCACUGGGGGAGUCCUGCAAUGACAUUCUGAGUAAUGCCUUAAACGAUGGGUCUCAAAUUGGAUUUAAUUUACAUUUAAUAAGACAUGUAUUGUAUGGCAAAUUAAUUAUAACUGACUGUUGAAUGUAUUUUUGAGAAUUAAUAGUUAAGGAAUUAAAAGUAUGUUUAUUAUAUAUGAGGUUGUAGAAUAUCAAUUAUAUUUCUUUUCAGUAAUGAAGUGGUAUUUGUUUGACAUAAGUUAAUUGUUUGGUCAGGUUUAAAAGAAUAAUUAUCUGAGCUGUGUAAACAGGCUCUUUUAAUUAAAAAAAAAGGCUUCACGCAAAAAAAAAAAAUCAAGUGGAUUUUUUAACUAACUCUUUUUCUGAAUGUUUUUCUGUUGUUAAUUUUGAAUUUCAUAACUUCUGCAAGUGAUUCCAAAUUAAAUAAUGCCAAAAUAUCCUUGUAGCCAUAAAUUUGCACACUAUGCACUAUAAGCACUGGAUAAAUCGGCUAUCAUAUUUUCAAAGUAUAGUUCUUUGCAGAGUGUAGGUUUUUCAUAUUUUUACACUACAGUAAAGUUGAAAAAAUGCCUAACAGCUAAGAAGAAAAUUUGAUUCCAAAGUUUUGGAUGUUUAGCCAAUUCAACUCAAAUGACAUGCCACAAAUACAAUGCAUUAUUUUAUUUUAGUAAUCUUCUUUUCUUUUUUCUUUUCUUUUCUUUUCUUUUCUUUUCUUUUCUUUUCUUUUCUUUUCUUUUCUUUUCUUUUCUUUUCUUUUCUUUUCUUUUCUUUUCUUUUCUUUUCUUUUCUUUUCUUUUCUUUUCUUUUCUUUUCUUUUCUUUUCUUUUCUUUUCUUUUUCUUUUCUUUU